AUGGCACCCUCCAGCCUGCUGUGGGCCCUGGUGGCCUUCACCUGCUCUGGCUCCAGUGUGGCCCAGAAAAUUAUUCAAGACCAGCCAGCUAUAUCCUCGAGAGAGGGGUCAGCAGUCACCCUGAGGUGUUGGUAUGAAACAAGUUGGAGUAUAUACUACCUUUAUUGGUUCAAGCAACAUCCUGAUGGACAGAUCACUUACAUGAUUCAUCAGCCUUCUUCUUCUAACAUUAAUGCAGUACAGGGUCGCUAUUCUAUAAACUUCCAGAAAGCAUACAAAACCAUCUCCCUCACCAUUUCACUCUUGCAAAUGGAUGAUUCAGCAAUGUAUUUCUGUGCUCUCCGGGAACCCACUGUGUUUGAGGUGAUAGUAAGAGCUGAACAAAAACACCAGAGCUCAGGCAGGGUAGGACCUCUGCUAGGCAGCCAAGCAGAAAGCAACGGAAGUGACAGUGGCUGCCUCUUCCAUGGUCUAGCUCAGGGGAUUGAAUUCUUAGUAAAACCUCCAUCCAUGUCAUAUGGAAACAGGUGUCCAGGGUAA